UACGUAGGGGGCUAGCGUUGUCCGGAUUUAUUGGGCGUAAAGAGCUCGUAGGCGGUUUGUCGCGUCUGCUGUGAAAACCCGAGGCUCAACCUCGGGCCUGCAGUGGGUACGGGCAGACUAGAGUGCGGUAGGGGAGAUUGGAAUUCCUGGUGUAGCGGUGGAAUGCGCAGAUAUCAGGAGGAACACCGAUGGCGAAGGCAGGUCUCUGGGCCGAGACUGACGCUGAGACGCGAAAGCUAGGGGAGCGAACAGG
rnacentral:rRNA from 1 species